GACUUUGCGGGAGCUCUUCGAGGAGAGGAGAGCAGUCCAGUAGCGAUUUGUUCUUGUCCUUUGCAGGUUUUGCCAUGUUACAUUUUCUCGGAUUUGCUUCAGGAUUUCCCCGAUUCCUCUAGCUAUUGAAACAGGGAAUCAAAUCCAGUUCAAGAUUUCGGUAAAAAUUAUAACUUUUUCGAUAUCUGUACCAAAAGGAGAACAAGAAUCCGUACCCAAACCAUGGUUGGUGUCUUCUUUUUCGGUGCCAUGUUUUGCUGAUAGCUGCUAUUCCAGAAAUCUGAAGGAAAAAAACAUGAAUAGAGAAAAGUAACUAUCAAGAACAAGAUUUGCCAGCAGAUGUUGAAGGAGAUCAUUAUACAACAAGCCACAGAUUCAAGCAGGUUUCGAAUUAAAAACAAUGCGAUGCUUUUCUGAGUAGCAUACACCAAAACACAAAAUGAGACAACACAAUUCACCUAAGAAUAGAUAAUGAACCAUAAGAACCCGAUGAUACUUUAACAAUCCAAACAUCUAUAAGUACUAUCUUUCGAACUCGCAAACACUAACCUUGAUUCAAAAUUCCUGAGCUAAUCUAAUAAGAGUGAGACAUAUCCCCCAAAACAAACUACUGUACCUUAAAUUAGCUUUGAACUAAAAGAACAAAGAUUGCUUCUUGCGCAUAUGCGUGUACAAACAAUAUACAGUAUCAAGCUCUAUACUGUAUUCGAAAAUCAUGUCAAAAUCAAGAUAAUUCCCCCAAAUCUUCAAGUAGCCAAAAGUCAAAAAAAUUUGAGACAAUCCCAAAUACCAAAAUAGAGAGACCUAUCUAAGUGACUAACCUAUCACGGAGCUGAAGCUGAUCGAUCAUGGAAUAUCAUUAUCAUUAAAGUGACUCGGAACAUCUUCUGCAGAUUAAGUUUCAUAUGAGUCUUGGGCGAAAGCCGACUUCUUUAGAAAACCACACACAACUGUGAGAAUUCAUGAGACAACCAUUUCCAUAAGGACAACAAGGUUUAGAAAUUAGAACUAGAAUAUCACUAUAACAUCAGAAAUCACAAGAUCUUUACCUGAAAUCAUAAGGAACUUUUCUUUUUUUUUUUAAAGCCAGCAGAUGUCUCAGGUAUAUAAAGGAAGAUUUUUUUUAACCAUACAUACACCAAACUACUUCUGCCAACAAACAUGAAAACAAAGAUUCAAAUCAAAUUUCCGAACUCAAACUCUUACUUAUGCCAAUAAAUUAAGUAGUAAACUCAGGGAGGAAAAGAGUUGUUACACAAUCGGGACUUUGCGGGAGCUCUUCGAGGAGAGGAGAGCAGUCCAGUAGCGAUUUGUUCUUGCCCUUUGCAGGUUUUGCCAUGUUUUCUGGUUGUUGCGAUUUCCUAACCUAAAAGAAAAAUCAAUUUUCUAUAAGACACAUGAACAGAGAUGAUCAUAACAGUCCUUAAAACACAAUUUUGCUAUUGAAACAGGGAAUCAAAUCAUGUUU
rnacentral:lncRNA from 1 species